rnacentral:rRNA from 1 species
UGGGGAAUAUUGCACAAUGGGCGAAAGCCUGAUGCAGCGACGCCGCGUGAGGGAUGACUGCCUUCGGGUUGUAAACCUCUUUCAGCAGGGACGAAGCGAAAGUGACGGUACCUGCAGAAGAAGCACCGGCCAACUACGUGCCAGCAGCCGCGGUAAUACGUAGGGUGCAAGCGUUGUCCGGAAUUAUUGGGCGUAAAGAGCUCGUAGGCGGUCUGUUACGUCGGCUGUGAAAACCUGGGGCUCAACUCCGGGCCUGCAGCCGAUACGGGCAGACUAGAAUUCGGUAGGGGAGACUGGAAUUCCUGGUGUAGCGGUGAAAUGCGCAGAUAUCAGGAGGAACACCGGUGGCGAAGGCGGGUCUCUGGGCCGAUAUUGACGCUGAGGAGCGAAAGCGUGGGGAGCGAACA